UUUGGUUGACUUUGAUAAGGCUCCUUAUAAAAGGGCACGACCGAUAAACCAAAGUGUCUGGAUUAUUACAGAAAAUAAAAUUCAGGCCUUGCCCACGAGAUACUUGAUAGUCUUCCAGCUUUUAUUUUAUCUGUCCACUUUGAUCAACUUUGAUCAGCAUCAGCAUGAUUUCAAAGUCUUUGUCAAGAAACAGACGCUGGCGUUGGAUGAGGCAUGGGAAAGAUGAAGAGAGUUGGCUGAGAAGGACGUGGUCCCCAGCCCUGUUCUUGAGGCUGGGUCUUUAGGGGGCCAGGAGGUGCGGAGCUGAACGCUUCCCGCCUGAGGCUUCAUCCGCCCGCAAGUGCAUCAGGACUCUGCUUGCAAAGCGACGAUCAUUUCCUGGGUUAUCAGUCUGGAAG
rnacentral:lncRNA from 1 species